GAUGAACGCUAGCGGCAGGCCUAAUACAUGCAAGACGAACGGUAAGUUGAGUAGCAAUACUUGACCUAGAGUGUCGUACGGGUGCGUAACACGUAUGCAACCUACCCAUAACAGGAGGAUAGCUCCCCGAAAGGGGAAUUAACCCUCCAUAGUAAUAUUGAAUGGCAUCAUUUGGUAUAUAAAACUCCGGUGGUUAUGGAUGGGCAUGCGUCUGAUUAGUUAGUUGGCGGGGUAACGGCCCACCAAGGCGAUGAUCAGUAGGGGAACUGAGAGGUUGAUCCCCCUCACUGGCACUGAGAUACGGGCCAGACUCCUACGGGAGGCAGCAGUAGGGAAUAUUGGUCAAUGGAUGGAAGUCUGAACCAGCCAUGCCGCGUGCAGGAAGAAGGCCUUAUGGGUUGUAAACUGCUUUUGCCAGGGGAUAAAAUAGCUGUGCGCAGCGAAUUGCAGGUACCUGGUGAAUAAGCCACGGCUAACUACGUGCCAGCCGCCGCAGUAAAAC
rnacentral:rRNA from 1 species